rnacentral:rRNA from 1 species
AGCCAUCAUUUAAAGAAAGCGUAAUAGCUCACUGGUCGAGUCGGCCUGCGCGGAAGAUGUAACGGGGCUAAACCAUGCACCGAAGCUGCGGCAGCGACGCUGAUGCGUUGUUGGGUAGGGGAGCGUUCUGUAAGCCUGCGAAGGUGUGCUGUGAGGCAUGCUGGAGGUAUCAGAAGUGCGAAUGCUGACAUAAGUAACGAUAAAGCGGGUGAAAAGCCCGCUCGCCGGAAGACCAAGGGUUCCUGUCCAACGUUA